rnacentral:lncRNA from 1 species
GGUGGGGGUGCUGGGUUGGAGAAUGUGACAGAGGACAAGAAUAGAAUACAGUUAUAGAACUGGAAUUCGCUUUUUCAUGCUAAUUUCCCUGAAUACGUUCCAGAGGACAAGGACUGUGUUGUUCAUCACAGUAUUCCAGAACUUAAAAGGAACUGGCACAUAAUUGGAGCUUACUAAUAUUCGUCAAAAAAAUGAACAAAUGAGGCAAUGACAGUGGUCUUGUGAAGCUGCUGCUAUUUACAGGGACUCACUCAUUCCGCAAGUAUUUUUUGCACCUCCUACCACACUCCACUCAGUUACAUGCUGGGAAUACCACAGUAAAGACUGGAGUGGCGUCUCACUGCUUCUAGAAGAUUGGAACUAUUACUGACUUGGUAUUCAUAUGGACCAAAGGUACCUCCUGUUGGACAUUCCUUAGGCCUGUCACAUAUGGUCCAAGAAAGCAGUAAGAUGGAAAAGAGAGACCAGCUAAGAGCUACUCCAAAUGCCCACACCAUCAGAUGAUCAUCCCAAGUGUCAGAGAUAUCUGUGAAUCAAGUGCUCAAAGCUACACACAUUGGGAGUGCUCUAAAAUUCCUAUCAAUACAGUUAUUCUUUUUCCCAGAACCAGAAGAGGCUCUCUUGAUGUAAUCUUAGAUACCAGGGAAUAUAAUGUUCAACCCAGGGAAAAAAAAGAGAGAACACCUAACCCAUCCCUACUUAUAUUUCCAGCAGUGGAGACUCACAGUCUUCCUCAUCAUCCAUCCUCCCUGUAAUCUACCUGAACCUCAAGUCUCUGAAUAAGCUUAUCUCACAUGUGACUUAGCUGUUGCUUUUUAUAGCAUGAACUAUUCAGCCUCCUACUAAGACCAUCUUUUCCAGAGAGGCUGAAUGGGUCUCAGUCUCUACUAAGGAAGCUCACAUCCUUCAGGAGCUUACCCAAAACAACAGUCACAUAUUUAGGCAUGCUGGCUUGUACAGCUCAGGUCAGCCAGAAAGGCCACAGCAGCUGCUGACCAUUAUACCACAUGUGAGCACUAACGGGGAUCAAUGAGUCAAGCCUUGAAAGGGCAGAACAGAAGGAAAGAAGUUACCAUUGGCCCUUGGAUCACCAGCAACUAGCUCGAAAGAGUCUGCCUAAUGAGGACUGCAUCCAGCCAUAACGAGCACCUAGUCUUUGAAGCCUGUGGCAUCCAGACAGUAUCACUUCCUACUUGACUGCUUUCAGGGGGCCUUCCACACAGCCACCCCUUACACUACACCCAUCUCCAAGGCUGAAGAGAAGACCUAGUGCACACUAUCUUGAGAGGCUUAGCCACACAUUUCAGUCCCCGUCCACAUCCACCCUCCCCCUGCCCCUGACAGCUCAAAUAUUCAGUCUCCACAUGUGUCUAUGUGCCUGUGUGUCUGUGUUUUAUUUAUACUACCCAUGUCUGUUGUUAGCAACAGAAACAAAGUACUUUAAGGCAGAAAAGGCAAGUCUGCCAAUUGGCUUGCUGCUCCCCGCCUGCUUCCAGCUCAGGGAAGGGCUGGUAAAUGAUCCCUCCAGCUCCAAUCUACCAUGUGUGCCUACAGCUCCCACGUACCCGGGGGCUGGGAGGCAUGGUGCCAGUUUGGCCCACAUUAGUCACUGCUGCAUGGGGUGCCGGCCAUCACCUCUCUCUCUUCUUCCCUGGAGGGCACACCCUGAACACCUGAUUCUGUCACCUGCCUAAAUGCUGAUUACUGUCGAAAGGCAGAGCUUCAGAAGCCAGAAUUCAAGAAACCCAUGGUAAAGAUGAAAGGGCAGUUCCUCCCCAGACUCAAGACUCUGGAGAACUAGCCCAGGCUAAGUUCUACUUUCACGUCUUUCCAUUCCCACUUCAGUUUUUCUGCUACUGAUAAUCUUCCAAGUUCCAAUAGCAGGCUCCCUAAUAACAUUGACAGUAAUUAUUGAUCACCACUUUGUUUUAGCUGAGAGAACAAAACAUGAGAUGUGAUUCUUACAUGUGGGGAGCUCACAGACGAAUGUAGGGCACUGAGACACAACAGCAAACGAUGCAAGUGUGGGACACAAACUAGAAAGACAGGACAAUGGAGUGGUGGAGGGGACAGAGCAGCUCUGGACGGGGCUUCUGUGGGAGAGGAAAUGUGAGCCAGACUGUAAAGGACAAACAGUAGCUGGACAGAAUGAGACAGAAGACUGUUUGAGAUGAAGAAUGAGACUAUGACUCAAGGUCCCAAGGCAGAGAGAGUGGCAAAUAUCACACCCAUAGCGUUUUUCUCACAUUCAACUGAGGCUCAGCCCUAGCAGGUAUGGAGGAAGGAAAGUGGUGUGACUUGGUAAAAACAGAACCCUCCCCUCUGGGUUACCAUGCUCUCCAGCCUCUCUGCACCUACCUCUGCCAAAAGCAUGCUCGGGGUUUCCUUUUUCUUUCUUUUCUUUCUUUCUUUCUUUCUUUUUUUUUUUUUUUGAGACG